ACCACCAAGCUGCUGGUGCCUUGAUAUUGAGCUCCCAGCCCCCAGAACUGUGAGAAUAAACUUCCAUUGUUUGUAAGUUACCCAGCAUCUGUUAUUUUGCUAUGGCAACUGGCUGGACUAUGGCACAUUCCAGCUGAUUACGGCAAGCGUGAGACCCUUUUCUCCAUUGCCAUGUGCAGUCUCUUCACUAUUACGGGCCACCAUUUAUUCUCUGAGCAGUCAUUACUUUCCUUGUGGUUGUGACAACAUACUAGACGAAGAAUGACUUAAGGAAGGAAGGUUUGCUCUGGCUCUCAGUUUGAGUCAUCUACAGGCCAGCCUAGCAGGAAAGGAAUGGAAGCAGAAGCUUGAGGCAGACGCUCGCAUUGCUGCACCCACCAUCAGGAAGCAAGCACUGAUAAAUGCUGGUGCUCGGCUGGCUUUUUGCUUAUUUACUCCAGGAUCCCAAGCCAUGGGGGUGAUUUCACCCGUAUUUAGGGUGGAUUAAAUCUCCCUGCCUCAAUUAUCCCAUUCUAGAAACCGCCUCAUUUGACAUGCCUAGAAACAAUCAGUAUUCACCACCACGGAACUCCUAGCCAGUAUCAGUGACUCAGGACGAAUGCUCUACAAAUGGAAAGUAGGGACUUGAAGAAGCAUUUGCAUGCGGGUGAUCAUGGCUGCAUCAUUGAACUGAGAAGCAGGGUCUUGGGUUUAUACUUGCACGUCCACAGAUAUGGCUUUGUUGUUUACUGGAGCCACAUGGUAGAAGCUCGGCAGUGUCCACCAACAGCAAACAACACAGCAUGGGGGAUAUACCCAGUGUACAAAGUUUUCUUUUCCUUGAAGAGGAAGAAAAUUCUGACACAUGGGGCAAGGUACAUGAGCCCUGAGGACAUCUUCCUGAAUGAACAAGUGCUGUGCAGUUCUGUCACAGAGACGGGGCAGGAGAGGGGCACAGAGAGGACUGUGUUUGCUGUGGAUGACAUUUCUGUUUGCCAGAUGAAAGCACCUGUGAGCAUGAAUGACCGUGGUGACAGUAUAGCUCCGUGAACGUGUUUAGCAGCACUGAGUGGUACAAUGAGAAAUGGCCAAGAUGGUAAAUUUUCUCGUGUAUAUUUUAUCACAAUAAGAAAUGCCCUUUAGGUAUACAGCCUUCAUGCUAUUAAAGUAUCUGCCUUUGUCUGAGAAGCAGGAGCCAUUAAUCCAUCAAUCCAACAGGCAUCCUUCCCGGUAGAUUGUAGGUACAAGGAAAUUCACCCUCUUCCAAAUUAGAUCAAACCAUUGUUCUGUGAACGUUCCUUAUGGCUUCAUGGGCACCAAAGCCUUGGCAGUCAUCAACAGGGUUGGAGAAGGGCAAGAUUCAGGAUGCUGAGGAGGAGAUGAAACAUCUUAUUGGGCUCCAGACUAAAGGCUAUUAUCUCCUUCAGUGAUUUGGGGAAACCAACUCUAGCAGAGAAUGCAAAGAUUUAAGGGAAGGGAGCAUCUUUUUGCCUGGGGAAGAAUAUGAGAGUGAUAUUGACCAUUGGACAUAGCUGUGGACUGACAGUAAGGCAGAGAUGGGAACUUGGAGAGUUAGAACCUUUAAAGAAAAGUAGAUUCACUCAUAGCUACCUCUUUGGUGGCUCAUAUGCACCAGGCAUUGUAUUACCAAAGCAAAAUGCUGAGGGGGAGGGCAGGAGACCCUUGUCUCCACCAUCUUGUUAAGAAAGGCAGUUUUUACUCAGUAUCAAACUGUCUAAUUCCCUUGCAACUGGGUGGCACCUAGAGGUGCUGACAGAUGUUACAGCCCGGAAAGACCACAAUGCCCACAUCCAGCUUGCAUGCAAUGGCAGGCUGCCCACCAGCCAUUGGUUCAGAGCAAAAAGUUAUUAGGUUCUUCUUUAGAAAAGGCAAAAAUAGGAUCACCAACUAAUAGCACCUCCCUAGUGGUUAAUGUGGGGUCUGGAGAAUGCCAGAGAGCCACCUUUAUAGAUAGUCCCAUCAACUGACAACUGAUCCCAGGAUGAAAAAAACCCACACUUGUGGGUUACAAAAUCCUUGCAGUUGGAGGACAAGAUAGAGGAGAUGUUGUUAGGAAUGGGGCCUUGAGACGCCAGGAAUAAUCAAGGAAGUUAUUUUAGUAGUUAAGUUUCUAUUAUCUGCCCUAGGCAUGGAAGCAUCAUAAAACUUGGUGGUGCCUUGCCAGGGAAUUGCUUUGUGCGCAUAGCUGUGGAAAUGUUACACAUAAGACUGAUCAGGAAUAAUUGGAAUGCAUGGUAAACAACUCAAACUCUCCAAGAUUUAAGGGUCCUAGAGGAAAAACAAGAGAACUCAGUCCAUUUUAAUGAAGAACUCCAAUCAUUCAGAAUUUAGUAGAAUUUCACUCACGUCUGAUGGAUGGCAUGUGACCUUGUGUGUUUGAGCAUUUAGGCCAAUGUUUGGUUUUAGACAUUUAGAUUCCACAGUUCAUUUUCUCCAGUGAACAAUAAGGUUUUGGACUAUAUUUAAAUCAUUCAAUGGUCCCCUCCUCCUCCUCUCCCUCCCCCCUCCUUCAUCACCCUUGUCUUUAAGGGUUUUAUUUUGUUUUGCUGGUUUUGUGCUUUGAGACUUGUCAUAAAAAGUACUCCAGGGCCAAGGGAUGCUACUGACUCAGAACUGAAUCUGUAUAUCUGCAGCCUAGAUGGGCCUUGAACUCGUGAUUUCCCUGCCUCCACCUCUUGAGGGCUAGAAUUACAAGUCAUAUGCUAACAUGUCUGGGUUGUUCAAGAGUUUUUGAGAAGUUGAAGGGGAUUCUUGGCUCACCGAUUUUUGAUGAGAAAGAGACUUUAAGUUCUAUAUGAUUGGCUGUUUAUUGCUUAUUUGAAUUUACAAAUGAUUUUUUUUUUAAAUCAUGAAAGCAAAGAUGGUCUGUCCAUCUUUUUGGACAGAAUAUAAAUGCUGUUUAACUUCUCAACUAAUUAAGGUUAAAAAGCCACUGGAAUUGGUUAAGUAUGUGCAGUUCUUGAGACUGUGCGCUGGGGUUCUUGACAGGAAACAUUUGCAUAAGCUCUGUGUUACCAGGACGUAUUUCCAGAAGAGAGUCUGCCUUGACAAAUGUCACAGUGAUUCAUGACAGUGUUAUGUAACUCUAUUAUGCAUUUUGGGUUGAACAACUUGGAUUUGUUGCAGGUACAAUUCAAUUAAAUGUGGAAUUUUUUUAUUUGAA